rnacentral:rRNA from 1 species
UACGGAGGGGGCUAGCGUUGUUCGGAAUUACUGGGCGUAAAGCGCACGUAGGCGGCUUUGUAAGUUAGAGGUGAAAGCCCAGGGCUCAACCCUGGAACUGCCUUUGAAACUAGGUAGCUAGAAUCUUGGAGAGGUCAGUGGAAUUCCGAGUGUAGAGGUGAAAUUCGUAGAUAUUCGGAAGAACACCAGUGGCGAAGGCGUCUGACUGGACAAGUAUUGACGCUGAGGUGCGAAAGCGUGGGGAGCAAACAGG